rnacentral:piRNA from 1 species
UAGGGAUGCUCACUUGAACUAUUAGG